rnacentral:rRNA from 1 species
UACGUAGGGUGCAAGCGUUGUCCGGAAUUUUUGGGCGUAAAGAGCUCGUAGGCGGUCUGUCGCGUCUGCUGUGAAAACUCGGGGCUUAACCCCGGGCCUGCAGUGGGUACGGGCAGACUAGAGUGCGGUAGGGGAGACUGGAAUUCCUGGUGUAGCGGUGAAAUGCGCAGAUAUCAGGAGGAACACCGGUGGCGAAGGCGGGUCUCUGGGCCGUAACUGACGCUGAGGAGCGAAAGCAUGGGGAGCGAACAGG